rnacentral:lncRNA from 1 species
UUGCUGCACCUGUGCCGUCCCCAGAGCUACAGGCCCCAUCUGGUCCUAAGUCCCUGCUGCCCUUCCCCUUCCCACACUGUCCAUUCUUCCUCCUUUAAUAUUUAUUUAAUUUAUCCCUAAGGUGUAUUAUAUCCAAAAUCCAUUUUUAAUAUGGUGUGGUUAUGGAGGUUAAGGGAACUUGAAACCAUACUUAAGUUUAUGGGGAAGCAUAAAUUCUUGUGAAUAGGCAAAGAUGUUUACAAAUGAAGAUU